UUAAACGUAUAAUUUAUAUAUUUUAUAUAUGCAUAUAUAAGGCUGGACUUAACUUCUUUCUCUUGGGCCAGAUGUAGAGGGAAGAGUGCUCCGAGUUCAGAAUCCGGCCACCCUGUUUCCCAUCCCAGUUGUGCCAUGAGUCUGAUUGGGGCCAGGUCAUUUCACCUCUCCCAAUUCCCGAUGCUUAAUCGGUAAAAUGGGCUUUUGUCAAGACUGAGCCAACGUGGGGUGUGAAAUUUCCAGUCACCGAGCGGGCCCUCAGCACACAGCACCUGCCUCCUUCCUUCCAUCCACUCAGCUCUGUGAAGUCUGUGGACGUGGAGGCCAGAGGCCUCAGGGAAUUUGUAAACGAGAAAGCACGAUACUUCAUUCAGCCAUUGAGCCAGUCUUUAUGGACACCUGCUGUCUGCCAGGGACGUUGUAGCAAUGGGGAUACAGAAGCGAGAGCCUCAGAUUCAGUCCUGCUCUCAGGAGCCCAUGUCCUGUGUGGGAGACAGACGGGAGACGGACAAAUCAACUUAAAACACGACGUCAGAGAGUCAAGAGCCGCGAAGAAACCCCAGGGAGGGGAUGAAGGGUCUGUUUCCCAGGCGCCCAGGGAAGGCCUCUUGGAGGGCAGGUGCUUGAACCUGGGCUAGAAUGAUAAGGAGACCCCACUGGGGGCACAGCAGACACAAAGAUGCCCAAGUUGGCCUCACGUGACCCAUGGUGGGAAAUGUCUGCAUAAGUGAAUGAACCUGUUACAGCAUCUCCCGGCCGAGAGCAGUCUUCUUGCCCCAAGGUGGAAUGAAAAAAUGCCCCAUUGAAGAAAAUAGGCCAAUUUGAGAAUUUCUGUCACUCACAGAGCUUCAUCUUGCUGCCAAUUCUCAGAGAACCGUUUCUGCCAAGGAGGUGACAUCUGGGGAAAUGUGUUCACCCCCCAAAUCUCCAGACCUGGCUUGCUGGCUUCUACCUCCCCCCCUCAGCCCCACUGGGUGCCAGACCUCGGGCUCCGGCUGCCCAUCCACUUACUCACUUAAUCCCCCCCAACCCCUGUGAGUUGGGGGCUAUUAUCUCACCUCCAAAGCCGACCCUGAGCUCUAGGAGGUGAAGUGGCUUGCCCAGGAUCACUCAGGGGGCCCCGGAUGUCUGAGGCCACAGCCCAGUGAGGCUGGCACCGCCUGUGGCAGGUGCAUGCAGCAGUGUGGACUGAGACGGCCCCCCACCCCCACCCCGCCCCAGGGCUCAGAGUCUGCUGGGUCAGGGCCCAGGCCUUGGUGUAGCACACAUCUUCGAUGCACUGCUGGCUUUGCAUGCCCCAGCUGUGGUACCUUGAGCCCGUCCCUUAGCUUUGCUGAAACUCAGUUUUCAUUAACCAGAAAACGGGUAUCAUAACACCUCGUUAUUUGUGGGUGAUCACGCAGGUGCUGGCACAGGCCCCGGCUGAGGUAAGCCCUCGGUAAAUGUUCCUUGCAGUAGCAACAACAAUAAUGACAACAAUUGCCCUCAUCGCUGAGUGCUAAGGGUGCUAUAUGUUGAUCCCGUGUCAUCCUCCAGCAGCCACAGGAGGUAGGUAGCUGCUCUAUUAAAAAGCAAAGAGUUAGCCACUGAUGAUUAAGUAGCUGGGAACUAAAGUUUUUUCCUUUUUGUAAUUACUGA
rnacentral:lncRNA from 1 species